rnacentral:rRNA from 1 species
GACGAACGCUGGCGGCGUGCUUAACACAUGCAAGUCGAACGGAAAGGCCCUGCUUUUGUGGGGUGCUCGAGUGGCGAACGGGUGAGUAACACGUGAGUAACCUGCCCUUGACUUUGGGAUAACUUCAGGAAACUGGGGCUACUCCCGUAUAGGAGCUCCUGCUGCAUUGUGGGGGUUGGAACGUUUCGGCGGUUGGGGAUGGACUCGCGGCUUAUGAGCUUGUUGGUGGGGUAGUGGCUUACCCAGGCUUUGACGGGUAGCCGGCCUGAGAGGGUGACCGGCCACAUUGGGACUGAGAUACGGCCCAGACUCCUACGGGAGGCAGCAGUGGGGAAUAUUGCACAAUGGGCGGAAGCCUGAUGCAGCAACGCCGCGUGCGGGAUGACGGCCUUCGGGUUGUAAACCGCUUUCGCCUGUGACGAAGCGUGAGUGACGGUAAUGGGUAAAGAAGCACCGGCUAACUACGUG